rnacentral:misc_RNA from 1 species
GAAAUGCGAUAAGUAGUGUGAAUUGCAGAAUUCAGUGAAUCAUCGAAUCUUUGAACGCACAUUGCGCCCUUUGGUAUUCCAAAGGGUAUGCCUGUUCGAGCGUCAUUUGUACCCUCAAGCUUUGCUUGGUGUUGGGCGUCUUGUCUCCAGUUCGCUGGAGACUCGCCUUAAAGUAAUUGGCAGCCGGCCUACUGGUUUCGGAGCGCAGCACAAGUCGCGCUCUCUUCCAGCCAAGGUCAGCAUCCACAAAGCCUUUUUUCAACUUUUGACCUCGGAUCAGGUAGGGAUACCCGCUGAACUUAAGC